CAGGAGGAGAGAAGCAGCACAAAAAUGAUGCUCCUCCAUCUGCAGUUCAGACAACCUCCACAAAGCCCACAGCAGCAGUGGCAACAGAGGGAGUCCGUCAGCACAUCCUCUCCACCUCCAGGAUCCAGAUGGAGAUGUUGCCUUUGUAUGACUAGCCUACAUUAUGGAUCUCAGUGCGGAGUAAUGGAACUAAUUUGCUGAAGCUAUGAACAACCAUGCCUGCUAUCUCCAGAGAGUGGGAGGACUCUGAGGAAUGCAGCAGACAGAACGGAGCAGCAUCAUCUGAAUCACUAGAAUGGAUCAGCACUCCGGUUCAGGUUUAUCUGAUCUCUCUGAGCAAAUGUCUGCAUCACUGAUGACAUCAAAAGGGUAUCAUUUCAGGAAGAAAUACUUUAUGGGGUGUGAAAUGGACGAUUUCUCAAAGACGGCGCGGGAAGGCAGCUGACACGGCACUGGAGUCACGGCGCGAUGAUGGAAGCGUCUCGGCCCGAUUGGGCCCGUGUGUCAUCAAUUGCACAGAAAACACGAGGCCCGACGCGGUAACACAGACAGAGGAGAGAUUGGAGGAAGCAGCUGAGACUUUAUUUACUCUCCUGUUUGCAGUACCACGGUAAGGCGCUAAUAUGGAGCCGCAUUGAUGGGAACAAGGUAUGGAGCCUGCACAAAACCAAUACAGCUUCCUGAUGGGACGCCGUGUCUUUCAAUUUGGGGUUUUUUCUUUUCUCUUUCCUGCCCUGAAAGGGCUCAUAA